rnacentral:rRNA from 1 species
CGCUGGCGGCGCGCCUAACACAUGCAAGUCGAACGAGCGAGAGAGAGCUUGCUUUCUCGAGCGAGUGGCGAACGGGUGAGUAACGCGUGAGGAACCUGCCUCAAAGAGGGGGACAACAGUUGGAAACGACUGCUAAUACCGCAUAAGCCCACGGCUCGGCAUCGAGCAGAGGGAAAAGGAGCAAUCCGCUUUGAGAUGGCCUCGCGUCCGAUUAGCUGGUUGGUGAGGUAACGGCCCACCAAGCCGACGAUCAGUAGCCGGUCUGAGAGGAUGAACGGCCACAUUGGGACUGAGACACGGCCCAGACUCCUACGGGAGGCAGCAGUGGGGAAUCUUCCGCAAUGGGCGAAAGCCUGACGGAGCAACGCCGCGUGAGUGAAGAAGGCCUUCGGGUCGUAAAGCUCUGUUGAAGGGGACGAAUGUUAGUCUUAUCAACAACGAGACUAAAUGACGGUACCUUUCGAGGAAGCCACGGCUAACUACGUG